rnacentral:tmRNA from 1 species
ACCCUUUUCUUUGCCGCGAUAAUCCCUAUAUCAGCCGGGCCGGUUUGACCGGCUAUGGUGAUAAACUGCGGCGUGCAAUAGGCACAGCGGACCCGGGGGCGGUACCCGGCGGCUCCACCAAGACCGGCGCUUCUCGCAAGAUGGCGUGCCGUUCCUGACGGGGCCGAACUAGGAUCGACGUGUGCUCAAAAGCGCUGUUUUUGCCCGGGCUGAGUAACCCGUUCAAGGCUCAAAACCCAUAAGUGCCAACGAUAACGAAGCACUUGCUCUUGCAGCGUAAUUGAGGGCCUCACGGCCUGACAUUACCCUAACAGAACGCGGCUGGGCCAGCCGGGCAACAGAAUGGAUUCCAGCGGUACGGGGAGCACCGGGCAACAGAAGCUCCCCACU